rfam:Culex pipiens quinquefasciatus supercont3.361 genomic scaffold, whole genome shotgun sequence.
GGGUCAGUGGCGCAGGGGUAGCGGCUUCGGCUGCCGAUCCCGAUGAUGCUAUGAGACGCGGGUUCGAUUCCCGCCUUAUCCA